rnacentral:rRNA from 1 species
UACAGAGGAUGCAAGCGUUAUCCGGAAUUAUUGGGCGUAAAGCGUCUGUAGGUGGCUUUUUAAGUCCGCCGUCAAAUCCCAGGGCUCAACUCUGGACAGGCGGUGGAAACUACCAAGCUGGAGGACGGUAGGGGCAGAGGGAAUUUCCGGUGUAGCGGUGAAAUGCGUAGAUAUCGGAAGGAACACCAGUGGCGAAAGCGGCUUCCUGGUCCGACACCGACGUUCAGGCACGAAAGCGUGGGGAGCAAACAGG